GGAGGGGAGCCGAGGCCCGGCGUGGGGAGGCCGGCAGGAAGGGCCUCGAGCCCAGUGCGGACCUUUCUUCAGCCUCUGUGCGGCCGAGCCGCGCGCCAGGCUGCUGUGCGAGGAGGACGCGCUGACUUCCUCCGACAUGGGCUCUGAUAGAGCAGAAAUAGCGGGACCUGGACUUGUGGCGCGCCUGGUGCCUGGUGCCACAUCUCGGGCUCUGCGAGCCUCCUGGCGCGGGAUCCUGCCGUUUGCAUCCAAGAGAGGGGAGGACAGGGGCAAAAGGAUGCAGGGAGGCUGCUGAUUUCCACUGGAGAGCUAAUUUCCUGUGAGAUAUUAACCGUGAUUUAAGAAAAAAAUUCCUGUAACUGUAAUGUCUUACAAUAACAGAAUGCAGGAGAGCACAUAUCAAUGAAGAAAAGACAAAAUGUAUUUAUCCAUGAAGCUGAGGUUAAGAAACCAGUGUCUUCAAGAGCCGGGGACAGCACUGGGUCUGUGCAGAGUUGAGAGAUGGUGAUGACAUGCCUACAGCACAGCUGAUGAAAGAGAAGCCAUCUUGCUGCUAUUUGACAAGCAAGAAGAUAAAAGCUUUCCUAUAAAGAUGAUGGAGCAAAAAGAUAGAAGGGGCCUAGACUCCCUACCUUCACACUUCCUGCUAUGAAAGCAUUGCUAUUAUAAGGUUAAUCUGCAGAAACAGACUUCUAUGUCAUAUGCUUAAAUGCAUCAAAAUUCAUACAAUAUCCAUUAAAUUGGUAAAAGUAUCCAUCUUAAAGGAUUAAUCUGAGGGACC
rnacentral:antisense_RNA from 1 species